UACAUACUCUCUCCAUCAUAAAAUUCUUGUCUUAAGUUUGUCUAAAAAUGAAUGUAUCAAAAUACUAAAACAUGACUAGAUACAUUCAUAUCUAGACAAAUUCAAGACAAGAAUUUUGGGAUGGAGGCGUAAUAA
rfam:Hordeum vulgare subsp. vulgare, WGS project CAJW01000000 data, contig: morex_contig_50559